UGCGUGGGCGCAGCCUGACCGCCUGCCGCGUGAGUGAUGAAGGCCCUAGGGUUGUAAAGCUCUUUUGUGCGGGAAGAUAAUGACGGUACCGCAAGAAUAAGCCCCGGCUAACUUCGUGCCAGCAGCCGCGGUAAUACGAAGGGGGCUAGCGUUGCUCGGAAUCACUGGGCGUAAAGGGUGCGUAGGCGGGUCUCUAAGUCAGAGGUGAAAUCCUGGAGCUCAACUCCAGAACUGCCUUUGAUACUGAAGAUCUUGAGUUCGGGAGAGGUGAGUGGAACUGCGAGUGUAGAGGUGAAAUUCGUAGAUAUUCGCAAGAACACCAGUGGCGAAGGCGGCUCACUGGCCCGAUACUGACGCUGAGGCACGAAA
rnacentral:rRNA from 1 species